rnacentral:rRNA from 1 species
CUACGGGGCGCUGCAGUGGGGAAUAUUGCACAAUGGGCGCAAGCCUGAUGCAGCAACGCCGCGUGAACGAAGAAGGUCUUCGGAUCGUAAAGUUCUUUUCUUAGGGAAGAAAAAUGACGGUACCUAAGGAAUAAGCACCGGCUAAAUACGUGCCAGCAGCCGCGGUAAUACGUAUGGUGCAAGCGUUAUCCGGAAUCACUGGGCGUAAAGGGAGCGUAGGCGGUUUUGCAAGUCAGAAGUGAAAGGCUACGGCUCAACCGUUGUAAGCUUUUGAAACUGCAAGACCAGAGUGCAGGAGAGGCAAGUGGAAUUCCUAGUGUAGAGGUGAAAUUCGUAGAUAUUAGGAGGAACACCAGUGGCGAAGGCGACUUGCUGGACUGUAACUGACGCUGAGGCUCGAAAGCGUGGGGAGCGAACAGGAUUAGAUACCCGGGUAGUC